ACAUUCGUGCGGGAGUGAAUGGUGUAUGCUGUGUUGCGGUGUCUGUCUGUAUGUCUGUAUGUCUGUGAGAGCGUAAAUGAGUGCUUUUGUUUGUCUCUAUGUAUUUAAAACCUACACACUGAUCUUAUUUGAUCGACCCGGAUUCAGCCUUGGUCCGACGUCGAGAUGAUAAAACGAUGCUUGCUAGCCUCUAAGGCGAUGUGCGUACGAGAUCCAAACUCCAGGGCUUCCACACGAAGUUGUGGUCAGACGUGAUGAUUUGAUCAGAUAUACUAGUCUUGAGUGGACUUGACUAAUCCUCAAGUUUCACAACAGACCAUGAGUAUAGAAGCGAUUCUGAUCUAA